rnacentral:rRNA from 1 species
CUACACAUGCAGUCGAGCGGUAGCACAGAGAGCUUGCUCUCGGGUGACGAGCGGCGGACGGGUGAGUAAUGUCUGGGAAACUGCCUGAUGGAGGGGGAUAACUACUGGAAACGGUAGCUAAUACCGCAUAACGUCGCAAGACCAAAGUGGGGGACCUUCGGGCCUCAUGCCAUCAGAUGUGCCCAGAUGGGAUUAGCUGGUAGGUGGGGUAACGGCUCACCUAGGCGACGAUCCCUAGCUGGUCUGAGAGGAUGACCAGCCACACUGGAACUGAGACACGGUCCAGACUCCUACGGGAGGCAGCAGUGGGGAAUAUUGCACAAUGGGCGCAAGCCUGAUGCAGCCAUGCCGCGUGUGUGAAGAAGGCCUUCGGGUUGUAAAGCACUUUCAGCGGGGAGGAAGGCGAUGAGGUUAAUAACCUCGUCGAUUGACGUUACCCGCAGAAGAAGCACCGGCUAACUCCGUGCCAGCAGCCGCGGUAAUACGGAGGGUGCAAGCGUUAAUCGGAAUUACUGGGCGUAAAGCGCACGCAGGCGGUCUGUCAAGUCGGAUGUGAAAUCCCCGGGCUCAACCUGGGAACUGCAUUCGAAACUGGCAGGCUAGAGUCUUGUAGAGGGGGGUAGAAUUCCAGGUGUAGCGGUGAAAUGCGUAAAGAUCUGGAGGAAUACCGGUGGCGAAGGCGGCCCCCUGGACAAAGACUGACGCUCAGGUGCGAAAGCGUGGGGAGCAAACAGGAUUAGAUACCCUGGUAGUCCACGCUGUAAACGAUGUCGAUUUGGAGGUUGUGCCCUUGAGGCGUGGCUUCCGGAACUAACGCGUUAAAUCGACCGCCUGGGGAGUACGGCCGCAAGGGUUAAAACUCAAAUGAAUUGACGGGGGCCCCCCCAAGCGGUGGAGCAUGGGGUUUUAAUUCAAUGCAACGCGAAGAAACCUUACCUGGUCUUGACAUCCCCAAAAACUUUCCAAAAAAGGUUUGGUGCCUUCCGGAACUGGGAAAAAAGGGGCUGCAUGG